AUGUCGACCUCCUCUUUUGACUGUUCUGGCCUCUUGCGCUAUAUGCAAGGUUAGUUUAAACCCAACUCUUUUGGCACCUUUUGCUUAGCCAUCACAACAUUACCCUCACCCAACAUCAUUCAAGACCUUGUCCUCAAGGUCGAACUCAGGGUAAACUUGCGCUAGUUGAACACAAUCCUCCCAUGAGUUAUCAUGAGUGAGUCCCUGCCAAUGUAUCAAAACCUGUUGAAUUGGUCGCCUAUUGCGGAGAAUCUGGCGAAGCUAUAAAAUGGCAAGCGGUUGUAUCACCGGACCUGCCUCAUUAAAAAUGAAUGGAAGACACUAUGUCUCCGGUAUAGUUGUAGCAUCUCCUUCAAACUUUUUGGGUAGAGAGACAUAAAACACCGGUGGAUGUGAGAGUAUUCCGGUAGCAGUAAUUGAUAAGCAACAGAGCCUAUACUGUGAGUGAUUUGAAAUAUACCGAAAUACCUCAUACCCAACUUUUGAUUCUUGUGCAAUGUAAGAGAAUGUUGUCGGUACGGCUGUAAUUUCACUAAUAUCCACUCACUAACAGCAAAAGAGAUCUCAAUUCUUUGUUUAUCAGAUAAUUACUUCAUUCUUGUCCUUGUUUUGAGUAAAUUUUGUUGAAACUGUUAUAGAAUUUUGUCUCUAGAAGAAAGCAACUGAGCUAGCUCUGGAGGAUCUCUAUCAUUCAAGUAAUAAGAAAGUAUUGUUGGAGGAUCAAGGCCAUACACAAUUUGAAAUGGAGUCAUGCCAACACUCCUAUGGAAUGUUGAAUUAUACCAAAUUUAGUCGUCUACUUGGCCCAAUUAUCACUCCUCCGGUUGAUUCCUUUUUUUUGUUCACCGAAGUCUAGUCUCUCUCUCGCCGUCUACCAGUCUCUCUGUCACCAUCUACUCGGUAGCCAUCUCUUCUCGCAAAGGGUGUGAACGAUGAUAUUUGUGUUGUUUUUUUUACUAUUUUCCUUUUGUUUUCCUCUCGAUUGGUUGUAAUUUUUUUUCAGUGUUCCAUUCUUGUUAUUUCUUACAGAUCUGCAAGGACAUCAAUUUUUUUUUUAUUGAUUCUAGUUAUAUGCAAUCUUCUUACCAUCAUUUUCCCUCAAUUUGCUUUCUCCUUAAGAUUUUCAAAGGAUGCGAAAGUGUGUGUAAAUUUUUUUCAGGCUUUGUCUUCUGUCGUUCUUCUUGUUUCUUACAGAUCUGCAAGAAAAUCAAAUUAUAUUUUUUUUAUUGCUUCUGAUUAUCAUUUAAAUGAGCUUCAUUUGUCUUUACUGUUGUCGCUGUCAAUUCUAAGUUCAAUACUGACUUCAAUGUUGAGAACAUUGAAAAUCAUUAUCAAACUUUGAAAUUGCGAUAUGUUGAGAUAAAAAGGUGAGAGAUCUCAAUGGGGCAAGUUGGGAUGAUGCCAUGAAUACCAUCACACUUGAUUCUAUGGUUGCUCUGACCUACGUCGAGGUAACAUGGUUCACCUUUCAUUAAAACAAUAUUAUGGCGUAUGCAUGUACAUGUGUACUUUGUUGUUAAUGUCAUUGUAAUAUAGGCUCACCGGCUGCCAAGGAUUUUAUAAACAAACCAAUUGAACAUUAUAAAGCAUUGAGGAUUCUAUGUGGUGAGGACAAUGCAACGAGCGCGUAUGCGACCUUUCUAUACACUGAUUUCAAGGAUAAAUCAGAGCACGAAGGCAACAAUAUGGAGAACUUUGAUGAAGUCCCAGUUGAAUAGCCAAGCGAUGAUGAUGCUGAUGCGAACUCUUCCCUACUUGUUGUUGGUAGCCCCGCCACAUCAUCUGCACAAAGGUCACAAUGUUCAAGUAGGGGUUCAAAGAACCCUUCUAUGAUGGGUGAUCUCAUUAUUGUAGUAGGAGAAAUGGCAUCUGCCAUUAAGAACCCCACCUACUGAAUGGAGACCUUGUAUGCAAAGGUUAUGGAGGUUGAUGUUUUUCAAAAGAAGGAACUUGUUAAGGUGUUUGAUUAUCUGCAGCUUUGUGAGAAUGAGGCAAGAGGAUUCCUAGUGAAGGAUAUGGAACUCAGGAAGGAUUGGAUUGAAAAAUUUCUAUCUAGGAUGGAUUGAUUCAGCAUUUACAAUGCUUGGGCCUCUUAACUAGAUCCUGCUUCUACUACCUAGUUAUUUUAUUGUAUGUCCCUACAUUUCAUGCAUCAUGACUCUUAUGUUUUGUUAUAGGGUGACCUAGCAAUGGACAUCUUGUUGUGGUUCCAUCCUUUUAUGCAUUUCAUUUGUUUUGGCUUUUUGCAUUUUAUGUUGUUGACAUGUGUAUGUUUGUCGAAACCUACUUUUAUUUCUGUUGCUAUGCUAGGUUUGGAUAUUUUUGUGUUUGUCACUAACAUGGCUAUCUUUCUUUUGUUUUUGUUUGAAUUUCAGGUUAUGAUAUAAUGGCAAUGAUGAAAAGCAAAUUGUGACAUUGCACUGAGGCACAAUCUCGUAUUAUGGGACAAAAUCCAAAUUGGGGCACUGGUAGGGCAAAAUGACGGGCAUUUCGCUGCCAAUCUUUUGCAGCCAUUACGUAUCUGAUUUGGUAAUUGGGUUUCCUAUGCAUUUUUCAAAUUUUGGAAUGUAUGGACAUAUUUUUUUUAUAUGAUUAUUUGUUUUAAACUGAUUUACACAAGUGUGGCGAGGCAAUUAGAAGGUACAUGAUGCCACCAUUGCAGCCACCUUGUAUAGUUUCUGGUCGCUUCGGUUGUUUUCACAAAUAAAACAGUGCAAAUGAAUGUGCUUAUUAUCACUCUUGCUAUUACCUGAGCCAUGCCAAGAAUACAGGACUUGCUUUGGUUCAACACCAGUCAGACAUGUGGAACCGUGGAAAGGUUGAACAAACAUGAGCUCCUGCUAAAAAUUUUGCAGCUACUUACUGAUCUGAAUCAUCCUUGAGGAGACGUUUAUGAGGCAUGUGGAUGGGUUCCCUUUGAGGUUUAAAGGGGGAAAAAGACGUUUGGAACAAUGCCUUGAGGCAGCAUCAGAGAAACGACCAACAGAGGUACUACAAAUAUAGUUGCUCAGCCAAGACAACGUUGGUCUUCUAUUCAAACCUCUGAGUAUAUUUUGGAAAACUGGGUUACAGACUUGAAGAUCAGAAGAGCAGAGAUCUCGAAUGAAAUCGGCAUAGCAAUAAAUACCUUAAAAACAGUGUAAUAUAGCUUUGGAAUAUUUUGCAUAUUCAUUUAUGUGAUGUAAUUUAACUUUGGAAUAUUUUGCAUAUUGGAGGGUGUAAUAUAUCUUGUUUAUAACGCUAAUUUUUUGUGGGCGUUAACAUUACUGUAUGGGUGAUUAAAAGGUUUGUUAAAAAAGUUUGAUAGAUGAUAUUUA